rnacentral:rRNA from 1 species
AGUGAACGCUGGCGGUAGGCCUAACACAUGCAAGUCGAACGGCAGCACAGUAAGAGCUUGCUCUUACGGGUGGCGAGUGGCGGACGGGUGAGGAAUACAUCGGAAUCUACUUUUUCGUGGGGGAUAACGUAGGGAAACGUACGCUAAUACCGCAUACGACCUACGGGUGAAAGCAGGGGAUCUUCGGACCUUGCGCGAUUGAAUGAGCCGAUGUCGGAUUAGCUAGUUGGCGGGGUAAAGGCGCACCAAGGCGACGAUCCGUAGCUGGUCUGAGAGGAUGAUCAGACACACUGGAACUGAGACACGGUCCAGACUCCGACGGGAGGCAGCAGUGGGGAAUAUUGGACAAUGGGGGAAAGCCUGAUCCAGCCAUACCGCGUGGGUGAAGAAGGCCUUCGGGUUGUAAAGCCCUUUUGUUGGGAAAGAAAAGCAGCAGGUUAAUACCCCGCUGUUCUGACGGUACCCAAAGAAUAAGCACCGGCUAACUUCGUG